UACGUAGGGGGCAAGCGUUGUCCGGAAUCAUUGGGCGUAAAGAGCGUGUAGGCGGCCCGAUAAGUCCGCUGUGAAAUCUCGAGGCUCAACUUCGAGCUGUCGGUGGAAACUGUCUGGCUAGAGUCCGGAAGAGGAGAAUGGAAUUCCUGGUGUAGCGGUGAAAUGCGCAGAUAUCAGGAAGAACACCCGUGGCGAAGGCGGUUCUCUGGGACGGUACUGACGCUGAGACGCGAAAGCGUGGGGAGCGAACAGG
rnacentral:rRNA from 1 species